rnacentral:rRNA from 1 species
AGUGAACGCUGGCGGCAGGCCUAACACAUGCAAGUCGAGCGGCAGCGCGGGGCAACCUGGCGGCGAGCGGCGGACGGGUGAGGAAUGCAUCGGAAUCUACCCUGUCGUGGGGGAUAACGUAGGGAAACUUACGCUAAUACCGCAUACGACCGAGAGGUGAAAGUGGGGGACCGCAAGGCCUCACGCGAUUGGAUGAGCCGAUGCCGGAUUAGCUAGUUGGUGGGGUAAAGGCCCACCAAGGCGACGAUCCGUAGCUGGUCUGAGAGGAUGAUCAGCCACACUGGGACUGAGACACGGCCCAGACUCCUACGGGAGGCAGCAGUGGGGAAUAUUGGACAAUGGGCGCAAGCCUGAUCCAGCCAUGCCGCGUGUGUGAAGAAGGCCUUCGGGUUGUAAAGCACUUUUGUUCGGGAAGAAAUCGUGCGGAUUAAUACUUCGUACGGAUGACGGUACCGAAAGAAUAAGCACCGGCUAACUUCGUGCCAGCCGCCGCCGUAACAC